GUCUCUCAGAUUCCACUUGGGAGAAGAGCAGGACUAGCUGACAAGCCACAGUGGACCUGAAGCUGUCACUCGGUGAGACAUGCACAUCUUGGCUUAAGGUGAAGAUGGAACAACAAGACGUAGACAACAGGCAUACACAUUAGAAAACAAGAGUCACUUCAGCCACAGCAGACUGUUGCAUACAAGGAAGGUGAAAUGGCAACAUUGCAACAGAAAAGAGUCUGCUGAGAAGCAAUAUGAUUAACGCCUCCUGGAGAUACUGAUGGAUAGAU
rnacentral:lncRNA from 1 species